ACCGUAAGCCGUACGGCCUAAACCCGUUGGUGGAGGAACUGGUCGAAGGUGGGUUNAUGAUUGGGGUG
rnacentral:rRNA from 1 species